rnacentral:lncRNA from 1 species
CCUUGUCAUAUAGUUUACAACACUACUGCAAUUGAUAUUGGUCAUUCUUAACUGAUGCUGUUAUUUUUGGAUUGAUUCAUGAUAUGAUGCAUAAAUCCUAAAAAGGAGUGAGAUACAAACAAGGAUAUUUGUAUGGAGAAAUAAUCUCAAGUCCCAUGGUAAGAAUGUAAGCAAUGAGUGAGUUAGCAAACAUCUGACAAAAUGCCUUAUUCAGCCUGAGAAGUGUUAAGGCUAAAAACAAGAGGAUGGAUACCACUGUGCUGCACAUCAGGUGGAGACCUUGGCUGGC